UUUGGAUGAGUGGCGAACGGGUGAGUAACACGUGAGUAACCUGCCCUCUUCUUUGGGAUAACGCCCGGAAACGGGUGCUAAUACUGGAUAUUCACUGGCCUUCGCAUGGGGGUUGGUGGAAAGGUUUUUUCUGGUGGGGGAUGGGCUCGCGGCCUAUCAGCUUGUUGGUGGGGUGAUGGCCUACCAAGGCUUUGACGGGUAGCCGGCCUGAGAGGGUGACCGGUCACAUUGGGACUGAGAUACGGCCCAG
rnacentral:rRNA from 1 species